rnacentral:rRNA from 1 species
UACGUAGGGUGCAAGCGUUAAUCGGAAUUACGGGGCGUAAAGCGUGCGCAGGCGGUUGUUCAAGACCGAUGUGAAAUCCCCGGGCUUAACCUGGGAAUGGCAUUGGUGACUGCACGGCUAGAGUGUGUCAGAGGGGGGUAGAAUUCCACGUGUAGCAGUGAAAUGCGUAGAGAUGUGGAGGAAUACCGAUGGCGAAGGCAGCCCCCUGGGAUAACACUGACGCUCAUGCACGAAAGCGUGGGGAGCAAACAGG